rnacentral:rRNA from 1 species
UACGUAGGGGGCAAGCGUUGUCCGGAUUUAUUGGGCGUAAAGAGCGUGUAGGCGGUUAGGUAGGUCCGUUGUGAAAACUCGAGGCUCAACCUCGAGACGCCGAUGGAAACCAUCUGACUAGAGUCCGGAAGAGGAGAGUGGAAUUCCUGGUGUAGCGGUGAAAUGCGCAGAUAUCAGGAAGAACACCCGUGGCUAAGGCGGCUCUCUGGGCCGAUACUGACGCUGAGGAGCGAAAGCGUGGGGAGCGAACAGG